CGGAGUGUUGCACAGCCUGGUAGUGCGCCAGCUUUGGGAGCUGGAUGUCGUGGGUUCAAAUCCCUCCACUCCGACCA
rnacentral:tRNA from 1 species